AUCUUGCUGGAGGUUCCUGCGUACCUGAAGCCUUCCAAAGGGAUGUGGGAGUAUCAGCACCUCCUACGUAACGCUCAGCAGCGUGCAGAAGUAGACUAGUCUGGUCACUUAUGGAGGCCCGUUUAGAACCAGUAGGAUUAUUCAGGACAAGUAGAGGCUGAAUUGCGUCUGUCCCAGAGGAACCAUGAAUUAAGUCUCUGCAAUCAGUGACAGUUCUGACUUCGGAAACGGGCACGAGCUGGUUUUUCCAAGCGAUCGAGUUACCACAGUUUAAGAGAUUUUCAAAAGCAAUUGCAACAGCCUGAGAGCAUCCACACAGGAAGUUACAGCUCAGCUGGCGCAUGGCAAACCGUGAAGCUGCGAUUUUCUAACUGUGUUAAUGGCAACAGACUGGCCACAGAGACAUUCGUGAGAGCUACCUUUGCAGUGACAUUUAAACAAUUUAUUUGAUCUUGCUUUUGCAUAUCUUCUCGUGCCUUUUUUUACUCUGUUGUCGACCUUAGGAGAACGCUGUAUAUAAUUGUGGGUCUUUCAAUCACAUUUAAGUUUACGAAAAGCUAUGCAAAUUUCCUCAGUGUGUUAUUUCUGAAGUCUUUGGUAUUUGCAGUGAGUACGUGGUCAGGUUGAUAUCCCUUGACUGCAUGGGUAUGUUUAAGUAGAAGCUGCCCAGCAGCUCCAAGGCUGGUUGCUGAGAGCAGCUGUGACUUAGCUGAGGAUGCUGUCUCUUAACGGUGUGCAGCUGUUGGAAAUCUACCUUGGCUUGCUUACCUAAAGCGGGAGGUGCUAUCAAUAUCCAUUUUCUGUGUAUGCUAAUAGAAAAAAACAGAGCAGAAAAGGGUUGAUGGCAUGGGGAUUCUAUGUAUCUCACAGUUUACCGUGUUGUAAAUAAUUAUCAGUUGUAAUUUAGAGAAACUGAAAUACACAGAUUUGUGGGUGAAGGUUGUUAUUGAUGUGGGAGUGCUGUUGGCUAAAAGCCUAAAAUGAGGACUUUUUGCUUUGUGAGGACAUAUUUCAUCCUGUGCUUGAUUAGCUUCACCCAUACUUGACCAUUUGCAGGAGAGCUCUUGGAAUGAGCAUGGUUAAAACCAAUUACUGGUACUAUUGUUGCUAUGACCUGCAUCAGUUUCUAUCAGAAUCAGAAAUUCUAGCCUAAAGAGUUGUUAUAAAACCAUGUGAGUCACAAAACAAGGAGAAUGAAAAGCAAGAAGUUAUCUCAGUUAAUUGGAAAAAAUACAUUGAUCAGUUAACUGACUAGCACAUGUCAUAGAAGUGAUUUCACAGAAAUUUUUGUUCUGUGGAAGUGAUAGGGCAGGGAAAAAUUUAGGAGUGCUGCUGAAUUUUUACGUCAACAGAAAUAUUCCCCUUCAUUAAAAUAUGUAUUAAAAACAUUGGACGCUAACACACUGGAAAUGUUUGUAUGUGGAUUACCUGUUGUAUUAUGGCCCUUAUCUGACAAACCACUUGAAGCAUGCGAUUAAUCUCUUCAAUUCCUGUUGAAAUAAUUAGUUUUCACUAAGAGAUAAGCUCCCGUGUUUUAAGUUUGUCAUAAAUGUUUGUAGGAUGAAGAGUAAAUUAUAAAGUACAACUUUAUUUACU
ensembl:lncRNA